rnacentral:rRNA from 1 species
AGAGUUUGAUCCUGGCUCAGAUUGAACGCUGGCGGCAGGCCUAACACAUGCAAGUCGAGCGGAUGAAGGGGGCUUGCUCUCUGAUUCAGCGGCGGACGGGUGAGUAAUGCCUAGGAAUCUGCGUGGUAGUGGGGGACAACGUUUCGAAAGGAACGCUAAUACCGCAUACGUCCUACGGGAGAAAGCAGGGGACCUUCGGGCCUUGCGCUAUCAGAUGAGCCUAGGUCGGAUUAGCUAGUUGGUGAGGUAAUGGCUCACCAAGGCGACGAUCCGUAACUGGUCUGAGAGGAUGAUCAGUCACACUGGAACUGAGACACGGUCCAAACUCCUACGGGAGGCAGCAGUGGGGAAUAUUGGACAAUGGGCGAAAGCCUGAUCCAGCCACUGCCGCGUUGUGUGAAGAAGGUCUUCGGAUUGUAAAGCACUUUAAGUUGGGAGGAAGAGCAGUAAGUUAAUACCUUGCUGUUUUGACGUUACCGACAGAAUAAGCACCGGCUAACUUCGUGCCAGCAGCCGCGGUAAUACGAAGGGUGCAAGCGUUAAUCGGAAUUACUGGGCGUAAAGCGCGCGUAGGUGGUUUGUUAAUUUGGAUGUGAAAGCCCCGGGCUCAACCUGGGAACUGCAUCCAAAACUGGCAAGCUAGAGUAUGGCAGAAGGUGGUGGAAUUUCCUGUGUACCGGUGAAAUGCUUAAAUAUAGGAAGGACCCCAGUGGCGAAGGCAACCCCUGGGCUAUUACUGACACUGAGGUG